rnacentral:rRNA from 1 species
GUGAGGAAUAUUGGUCAAUGGGCGAGAGCCUGAACCAGCCAAGUCGCGUGAAGGAAGAAGGAUCUAUGGUUCGUAAACUUCUUUUGCAGGGGAAUAAAGUGCAGGACGUGUCCUGUUUUGUAUGUACCCUGAGAAUAAGGAUCGGCUAACUCCGUGCCAGCAGCCGCGGUAAUACGGAGGAUCCGAGCGUUAUCCGGAUUUAUUGGGUUUAAAGGGUGCGUAGGUGGUUUGAUAAGUCAGCGGUGAAAGUUUGCAGCUUAACUGUAAAAUUGCCGUUGAAACUGUCGAUCUUGAGUGCAAAUGAGGUAAGCGGAAUGUGUUGUGUAGCGGUGAAAUGCUUAGAUAUAACACAGAACACCGAUUGCGAAGGCAGCUUACUGGGAUGCAACUGACGCUCAUGCACGAAAGCGUGGGGAUCAAACAGGAUUAGAAACCCUGGUAGUCC